CCCAGCCACCAUGCUGUGAGGAGACUCAGCUACCUGAAGAGGCCACACACUGCUGCUCCAAGUGACAGUUUCAGAGUGCAGUCAUCAGAGAGCUCACAGUUUCAAAGCACACUCUUCCAAAUGACAAGAGUCGCCAGCAGAUUUUAAGUGGAUUUGAGAUGUCUAUCGAGGGAAUUUUGAGGCUAUAUGAAAAUAUUUACUGAGCAUCUCCUUUGAACAAGACUCGACUCUAGGCACAGAGGACCAUAUAAGAUAGAGACAAGACUCUGUGGUGAAAGAGCUGUGGACUAACAACACCAGUCACCACCUAACUGCUGAGUGCUGAAUGCUGGCCAUGGACAGCAUCCUAUGGAGUCACUGCUAAGUCCACUGGAUAGAAGGAGAUGAACACGU